AACGAACGCUGGCGGCAUGCCUAAUACAUGCAAGUCGAACGAGACCUUCGGGUCUAGUGGCGCACGGGUUCGUAACGCGUGGGAACCGGCCCUUAGGUUCGGACUAACUCCCCGAAAGGGGUGCCAAUACCGGAUAAUGUCUUCGGACCAAAGAUUUAUUGCCCUUGAAGGGGCCAGCGUGGGAUUAGCUAGUUGGUAGGGUAAAAGCCUACCAAGGCGACGAUCCAUAGCUGGGCUGAGAGGAUGGUCAGCCACACUGGGAGUGGGACCCGGCCCAGACUCCUACGGGAGGCAGCAGUGGGGAACAUUGGACAAUGGGCGAAAGCCUGAUCCAGCAAUGCCGCGUGAGUGAUGAAGGCCUUAGGGUUGUAAAGCUCUUUUAACCGGGAUGAUAAUGACAGUACCGAGAGAAUAAGCUCCGGCUAACUCCGUG
rnacentral:rRNA from 1 species